CUAAGAGCUGCUGGUGGAUGCCUUGGUAUCAACAGGCGAUGAAGGACGUGCUAACCUGCGAUAAGCUUCGGGGAGUUGGAUAGAAACUAUGAUCCGGAGAUGUCCGAAUGGGGGAACCCAAUGGGAGUAAUGACCCAUCAUUCUCAACUGAAUACAUAGGUUGAGAAAGCUAGACCUGCUGAAGGGACACAUCUCAGUAAGCAGAGGAAAAGAAAUCUAUAAGAGAUUCCCAUAGUAGCGGCGAGCGAAGUGGGAAUAGCCCAAACCAAGAAUUUAUUCUUGGGGUUGUAGGGCCAGUCAAUAAAGCCUUUGGCAUAUUUUAGCAGAAGCUUCUGGAAAGAAGCGCGACACAGGGUGAUAGCCCCGUACGCGAAAAGAUAUGUAAAGGCGAGAUUGGUACCUGAGUAAGACCGACCACGGGAAAUUCGGUCUGAAUCUGGGGGGACCACCCUCCAAGGCUAAAUACUAGUUGAUGACCGAUAGUGAACCAGUACCGCGAGGGAAAGGUGAAAAGAACCCCUGUUAGGGGAGUGAAAUAGAACCUGAAACCAGCAGCUUACAAACGGUCGAAGGCCUAUGGCCCUUUUAGGGCAAUGGCUGACGGCGUGCCUUUUGCAUGAUGAGCCAGCGAGUUAAGCUGAACGGCAAGGUUAAGGGACAAUACGUUCCGGAGCCAUAGCGAAAGCGAGUGUGAAUAGCGCGUUUAGUCGUUCGGUUUAUACACGAAACCAAGUGAUCUAUCCAUGACCAGGAUGAAACAGGGGUAACACCCUGUGGAGGUCCGAACCAGUGUCUGUUGAAAAAGCCUUGGAUGAGUUGUGGAUAGGGGUGAAAGGCCAAUCAAACUUGGAGAUAUCUUGUUCUCUCCGAAAUAACUUUAGGGUUAACCUCAGUAUCGACUCUUUUAGGGGUAGAGCACUGAAUCCAUUAGGGAGGCUUACCGCCUUACCGACGGGAAUCAAACUCCGAAUACUAGAAGAGCAGCUGGGAGAUAGACUGUGGGGGAUAAGCUUCAUAGUCAAAAGGGGAACAGCCCAGAUCGUCGAUUAAGGCCCCAAAUUCUAUGCUAAGUGAGUAAGGAAGUGAAGUUUCAAAGACAGUUGGGAUGUUGGCUUAGAGGCAGCCAUCAUUUAAAGAGUGCGUAACAGCUCACCAAUCGAGAGACUUUGCGCCGAAAAUUUACGGGACUAAAGCAUAGAGCCGAAAUCACGGGUGUACACCGCAAGGUGUACGCGGUAGGAGAGCGUAGUAUGUGCGCAGAAGAUAUACCGUAAGGAGUAUUGGAGCGCAUACUAGCGAGGAUGCAUGGCAUGAGUAAACGAUAAAGAAGGUGAAAAUCCUUCUCGCCGAAAACCUAAGGUUUCCAGGGUAAAGCUCGUCUUCCCUGGGUUAGCCGGUACCUAAGCUAAGGCUGAAAAGCGUAGGCGAUGGAAAGCAGGUUAAAUAUUCCUGCGCCACCUAAAACUAUGACAAUGGGGUGACGAAGGACGUUAAGCGUGCGGACGAUUGGAAAUGUCCGUGACACUAUGGGGCUGGCUAGUAGGUAAAUCCGCUAGCGUAAUGCUUGGUAGUGGCCAAGGGGAACCCUCGGGGGAACCGAUGACGUGGCGCGAAGCUUCCAAGAAAUAACCUCUAGUCGUUGAUGGUGACCGUACCAAAACCGACACAGGUGGGUGUGAAGAAUAUUCUCAGGCGCGCGAGAUAACUCUCGUUAAGGAACUCUGCAAAUUACCCUCGUAACUUCGGGAAAAGAGGGGCCUGAAACCGUGACUACUUGACUGUAGGUGCGGAAUCAGGUCGAAGCGAAAUGGCCCAGGCGACUGUUUAACAAAAACACAGCACUAUGCGAAGUCGUCUAAGACGAUGUAUAUGGUGUGAAGCCUGCCCAAUGCCCAAAGGUCAAAAGGAGGUGUCAGCCCGCAAGGGCGAAGCACUGAAUUUAAGCCCGGGUGAAUGGCGGCCGUAACUAUAACGGUCCUAAGGUAGCGAAAUUCCUUGUCGGGUAAGUUCCGACCUGCACGAAUGGCCUAACGAUCUGGGCACUGUCUCAACGGGAGACUCGGUGAAAUUGUAGUAGCGGUGAAGAUGCCGUUUACCCGCAACAAGACGGAAAGACCCCGUGAACCUUUACUAUACUCUGAUACUGGCUUCUGACUUUCCAUGUGUAGGAUAACCGGGAGACGUUGAAGAGGGCUCGUUAGGGCUCUUGGAGUCACCGUUGAAAUACCGGUCUUGGGGAGUCGGAAGUCUAACAAAGACCCAUGAAACUGGGUUUUGGACAAUGUCAGACGGGUAGUUUGACUGGGGCGGUAUCCUCCCAAAAAGUAACGGAGGAGUCCAAAGCUUACCUCAUCGCGGUUGGCAAUCGCGAGUAGAGCGUAAAGGUAUAAGGUAGGUUAACUGAGAGACCGACAAGUCAAUCAGAUACGAAAGUAGGGCUUAGUGAUCCGGCGGUAGAAAGUGGAAUCGCCGUCGCUUAACGGAUAAAAGGUACUCCGGGGAUAACAGGCUUAUCGCCACCAAGAGUUCAUAUCGACGUGGCGGUUUGGCACCUCGAUGUCGACUCAUCGCAUCCUGGGGCUGGAGAAGGUCCCAAGGGUUUGGCUGUUCGCCAAUUAAAGCGGUACGCGAGUUGGGUUCAAAACGUCGUGAGACAGUUUGGUCCCUAUCUGUUGUGGGCGCAGGAUAUUUGAGAAGAGCUACUUCUAGUACGAGAGGACCGAAGUGGACGAACCAAUGGUGUGCCGGUUGUACUGCCAAGUGCACAGCCGGGUAGCUAUGUUCGGAAAGGAUAAGCGUUGAAAGCAUCUAAACGCCAAGCCUCCUUCAAGAUAAGAUAUCCCUAUGAGACUACCGGAAGACUACCGGUUUGAUAGGUUGGAUGUGUACGCACAGCAAUGUGUUGAGCUAACCAAUACUAAUGAGUCCAUUGGCUUGAUU
rnacentral:rRNA from 1 species